UACGUAGGGUGCGAGCGUUAAUCGGAAUUACUGGGCGUAAAGCGUGCGCAGGCGGUUCGUUGUGUCGGUGGUGAAAUCCUCGGGCUUAACCUGGGAAUGGCCAUGGAAACUGGCGAACUGGAGUGUGGCAGAGGGGGGUGGAAUUCCGCGUGUAGCAGUGAAAUGCGUAGAGAUGCGGAGGAACACCGAUGGCGAAGGCAGCCCCCUGGGCUAACACUGACGCUCAGGCACGAAAGCGUGGGGAGCAAACAGG
rnacentral:rRNA from 1 species